rnacentral:rRNA from 1 species
GAUGACGGUCCUAUGGAUUGUAAACUGCUUUUGUACGAGAAGAAACAACAUUACGUGUAAUGUCUUGACGGUAUCGUAAGAAUAAGGAUCGGCUAACUCCGUGCCAGCAGCCGCGGUAAUACGGAGGAUCCAAGCGUUAUCCGGAAUCAUUGGGUUUAAAGGGUCCGUAGGCGGUUUAGUAAGUCAGUGGUGAAAGCCCAUCGCUCAACGGUGGAACGGCCAUUGAUACUGCUGAACUUGAAUUAUUAGGAAGUAACUAGAAUAUGUAGUGUAGCGGUGAAAUGCUUAGAGAUUACAUGGAAUACCAAUUGCGAAGGCAGGUUACUACUAAUGGAUUGACGCUGAUGGACGAAAGCGUGGGUAGCGAACAGGAUUAGAUACCCUGGUAGUCCACGCCGUAAACGAUGGAUACUAGCUGUUGGGAGCAAUUUCAGUGGCUAAGCGAAAGUGAUAAGUA